GAGGAGGUUGAAAAGUGUGAGGAGGUUGAAAAGUGCGAGGAGGUCGAAAUGUCAGAGAAGGUAAAAAAGUCCGAAGGGGGUGUAAAGUAUGAAGAGGUUGAAAAAUCCUAAGACGUGAAAUCCGAAAAGGUCCAAAAGUAAUAGGAGGUCGAAAAGUUACAGGAAGUUGAAAAGUCCGAAGAGGUCGAAAAGUGCGAGGAAUGACGAAGAGUCCGAAGAGGGAGAAAAGUCCGCAAGUAUGUUCGAGGAACUCGAAAAAUCCAAGCAGGCCGCAAAACAGAAAAGUACUCAAAAUCUUUUGGACAAAUAUUAAUAGGGUUUCAUUU